UUAAUAGUAAGAUCUGCUCAAUGAUAAAUAAAUAGCCGCAAUUCGUGCUAAGGUAGCAUAAUCAUUUGUCUUUUGAAUGAAGACUAGAACAAAAGAUUUAACAUUUUAAUUUAUUUAUUUAAUCUAUAAUUUAAAGCUAUUUCAAAUGUAAAAAAACAUUUAUAAAAAAGAAAGACGACAAGACCCUAUUGAACUUAACUUAAGUUAAACUGGGGCAGUUAAUUAAUUAUUAUUUUAAUUAAAAUAAUUCAAAUAAAAUCCAAUAUAUUUGAUUCAUCAAGUUACCAUAGGGAUAACAGCGCAAUUAUUUUUUAAAGCUCUCAUAUAAAAAGUAGAUUACGACCUCGAUGUUGAAUUAAUUACCUAUUUUAAGCAAAUUUUUAAAAAGGAAGUCUGUUCGACUUUUAAAUUAUUACAUGAUUUGAGUUCAGACCGGUGUAAGCCAGGUCGGUUUCUAUCUUCUAUAAAAAUUCUUACAGUACGAAAGGACCUAAGAAUAUAAUUUAAUUAUUAAAUUGGCAGAAAAAUGCAUUAGAAUUAGAAUCUAAUAACACUUAU
rnacentral:rRNA from 1 species